rnacentral:tRNA from 1 species
GGCGGCGUAGCUCAGUGGCUAGAGCACCCGGUUCAUACCCGGUAGGUCGUAGGUUCAAAUCCCACCGCCGCUACCA